CACCCACCUGGAGAGAAAGGGAAAACAACAUGAGUUUCAAGAAAAAGGACAAUUCAGGUUCAAGCGAUCAGGCACUCACCUGUAGAAUAAAAGGAGGACAGUUCAAAGGAAAAACAGUUUCAAGAAAAAGACAAUUCAGGUUCAAGCAAUCAGGUACCCACCUGUAGAAACAAGGGAAGAAAGUUCAAAGGAAAAGCAGUCGUAAGAGCAUGUAGUUCAAGUUCGGCAAUCAGAAGCCCACCUGGAGAACAAAGGGAAAACAAAUCAAGUUCCAAGGGAAUACGGUUAAAGUUUUGGCAAUCAUGCGCCCACGUGGAGAGCAAGGGAAUACAAUUCAAGUGUUGGUAAUCAGGAGCCCACCUGGAGAACAAAGGGAGGGCAACUCAAGUGUUGGUAAUCAGGAGCCUACCUGGAGAACAAAGGGAGAGCAAUUCAACUGUUGGUAAUCAGGAGCCCACCUGGAGAACAAAUGGAGAGCAAUUCAAGCGUCGGUAAUCAGGAGCCCACUUGGAGAACAAUGGGAAGAACAAUUCAAGUGUUGAUAAUCAGUAUCCCACCUGGAGAACAAAGGGAAGAGCAAUUCAAGUGUCGGUAAUCAGGAGCCCACCUGGAGAACAAAGGGAGGCAGUUCGAGUUUCGAGGAAAAAUCGUGUAAACGUUGUUAAUUAGGAGCCCACCUGGAAAACAAAGGGAAAGCAGCAAUGUUCGAAGGAAGACGAUUCAAGUUCAGUAAUCAGGUGCCCGCCUGAAAAAUAAAGGGAAAUCGCCUCAGAAUAUAAUUCAAACCAGCAGCAAAGGAAUUUCACCUAGAGAGUACAAGUCAACAAAGCAACAUAAACUGCAAGAUUAUGUUUGAAGAUAUAGAUAGGAAUCUUGUAAUUCAUAGAUCUUAGUUUAGUCUAGAUUCUUUUAUAUUGUCUUGGUGUAAUAAGGAGUUCAGCAAGCAGUAGC
rnacentral:lncRNA from 1 species